AUUGAACGCUGGCGGCAUGCUUUACACAUGCAAGUCGAACGGUAACAGGUUAAGCUGACGAGUGGCGAACGGGUGGGUAAUGCAUCGGAACGUGCCCGGUCGUGGGGGAUAACGCAGCGAAGGCUGCGCUAAUACCGCAUACGAUCUGAGGAUGAAAGCGGGGGACCGUAAGGCCUCGCGCGAUCGGAGCGGCCGAUGUCAGAUUAGGUAGUUGGUGAGGUAAAGGCUCACCAAGCCAACGAUCUGUAGCUGGCCUGAGAGGACGACCAGCCACAGUGGGACUGAGACACGGCCCAGACUCCUACGGGAGGCAGCAGUGGGGAAUUUUGGACAAUGGGCGAAAGCCUGAUCCAGCAAUGCCGCGUGCAGGAAGAAGGCCUUCGGGUUGUAAACUGCUUUUGUACGGAGCGAAAAGGCUCCCUCUAAUACAGGGGGCUCAUGACGGUACCGUAAGAAUAAGCACCGGCUAACUACGUGCCAGCAGCCGCAGUAAUAC
rnacentral:rRNA from 1 species